ACGUAGGGAGCAAGCGUUGUCCGGAUUUACUGGGUGUAAAGGGUGCGUAGGCGGCUUUACAAGUCAGAUGUGAAAUCUAUGGGCUCAACCCAUAAACUGCAUUUGAAACUGUAGAGCUUGAGUGAAGUAGAGGCAGGCGGAAUUCCCCGUGUAGCGGUGAAAUGCGUAGAGAUGGGGAGGAACACCAGUGGCGAAGGCGGCCUGCUGGGCUUUAACUGACGCUGAGGCACGAAAGCGUGGGUAGCAAACAG
rnacentral:rRNA from 1 species